rnacentral:rRNA from 1 species
ACAUGCAAGUCGAGCGGGGAAGUGUACCUUGCUACAUUACCUAGCGGCGGACGGGUGAGUAAUGCUUAGGAAUCUGCCUAUUAGUGGGGGACAACAUUCCGAAAGGAAUGCUAAUACCGCAUACGUCCUACGGGAGAAAGCAGGGGAUCUUCGGACCUUGCGCUAAUAGAUGAGCCUAAGUCGGAUUAGCUAGUUGGUGGGGUAAAGGCCUACCAAGGCGACGAUCUGUAGCGGGUCUGAGAGGAUGAUCCGCCACACUGGGACUGAGACACGGCCCAGACUCCUACGGGAGGCAGCAGUGGGGAAUAUUGGACAAUGGGCGGAAGCCUGAUCCAGCCAUGCCGCGUGUGUGAAGAAGGCCUUUUGGUUGUAAAGCACUUUAAGCGAGGAGGAGGCUACUCUAGUUAAUACCUAGAGAUAGUGGACGUUACUCGCAGAAUAAGCACCGGCUAACUCUGUGCCAGCAGCCGCGGUAAUACAGAGGGUGCGAGCGUUAAUCGGAUUUACUGGGCGUAAAGCGUGCGUAGGCGGCUGAUUAAGUCGGAUGUGAAAUCCCUGAGCUUAACUUAGGAAUUGCAUUCGAUACUGGUCAGCUAGAGUAUGGGAGAGGAUGGUAGAAUUCCAGGUGUAGCGGUGAAAUGCGUAGAGAUCUGGAGGAAUACCGAUGGCGAAGGCAGCCAUCUGGCCUAAUACUGACGCUGAGGUACGAAAGCAUGGGGAGCAAACAGGAUUAGAUACCCUGGUAGUCCAUGCCGUAAACGAUGUCUACUAGCCGUUGGGGCCUUUGAGGCUUUAGUGGCGCAGCUAACGCGAUAAGUAGACCGCCUGGGGAGUACGGUCGCAAGACUAAAACUCAAAUGAAUUGACGGGGGCCCGCACAAGCGGUGGAGCAUGUGGUUUAAUUCGAUGCACGCGAAGAACCUUACCUGGUCUUGACAUAGUAAGACUUUCCAGAGAUGGAUUGGUGCCUUCGGGAACUACAUACAGGUGCUGCAUGGCU